rnacentral:rRNA from 1 species
UACGAAGGGGGCUAGCGUUGCUCGGAAUUACUGGGCGUAAAGCGCGUGUAGGCGGACCUGCAAGUCGGACGUGAAGGCCCUGGGCUCAACCCAGGAACUGCAUCCGAAACUGCGGGCCGGAGUGGUGGAGAGGGAAGCAGAAUUCCUGGUGUAGAGGUGAAAUUCGUAGAUAUCAGGAGGAACACCGGUGGCGAAGGCGGCUUCCUGGACACUUACUGACGCUGAGACGCGAAAGCGUGGGGAGCAAACAGG